AUGACUGGAGUGUGUUUGAAUUUUGCAUUCCAAGGCUUUAAUUAAGAUGCAUUUACCACUGUCAAUAGUUGUGGGUUUUCUCCUUUAAAACUUUUUAACAUUUUCAGGGCUUUCAUCAGAUCUCUAGGGCAGCUAAUUUCAUUGGUGUUGCUUCAGUGAAGAGUUUGACCAAGAUACUCCAUACUGGAGAGCUGCACUUUGCAAGGGCAAAAUAUGCUGAUGUCCAGAGAAAGGAUAAUUCAAGGAAGAGGCACCAGGAUAAGGAAUGCAGUUGAGGGCUCAGCUGCUCCUCUACCUUCCUACAGCAGGAACACCUCCCCAGCCCAGCUUUUGAAAGUGGAAAACCACCCUGACAGCCGCAGGAUACUUGACACCCUUCCGAGCAGGGGUGUGGCUGAGCAAGUCUGGUGGUGAGCACGAGGGGAAGGAGCAUUGGGUCAGUGCUCGUGUCCACAUUUGGGAAUAUGUGUCUGUGUUUUCAGUGACAAGAGGAUACACGGGAGAAAUUGGUAACUUGACCUCCAAGCAGAGAAUUUGUCUACUUGCCUUUCCUGCCAGGUGCUCUGUAGCUCACCCACACUCCCCUGUGCCUCCACUGCAUAAAGAACUGGGACUUUCCAAGGGGAUUGAGGCUCAUGCUGUUGCAGCUGAUUUUUUUGUUUUCUUACCUGCAAUAACUUCUGAAUUUCUAUCAAUAUUAAAGCAGUCUGGGAGGCUUGAGGAUAAUCUGGUUACCAUACAUUUCUGGAGGAGAGAUGUGAAGAAGAAAUAACUUGGCUGAGGCAGAGCCAUUAGAAUCCCUGUCCUUCUGCUCCUGCUGAAAGGCUGAGGAGGUUUUUGAUCACAGGCACGAAGUGAAAGCUUCAAAGCCCUUGUCUGCAGACAAAAGGGACUUCUCAAAACCAGCUGCACCUGAGAGAGCAUUUAUGAACAUCCCCUGCUUUGUCAGUGCCUCUGAAGAAAUCCAGGCAGCCCAGCAUCAUCAUGUGAGCACAAUAAAUGAGCCAGAGGAGAGGGGAAUUGCAACCUUGUGUGUCCUGUGCAUUCCUCUUGAGGAAUAAAAGUGGCCAGGAGACCUUGGACAGGACCUUGGAGCAGUCAGAGAUUGGCACAGAAGAAAGCUGAAUGAAUGGAGGCAAAGGACAAUUGGCUCCUUUCUACACACCUUCCAGAAAGAGGCAGGGGGAGGCUGUGUAGUUCUGGGUCCAGUUCUCUGCCAAGGGACCUGUUGAGUA